GUGGGGAAUCUUAGACAAUGGGGGAAACCCUGAUCUAGCCAUGCCGCGUGAUCGAUGAAGGCCUUAGGGUUGUAAAGAUCUUUCAGGUGGGAAGAUAAUGACUGUACCACCAGAAGAAGCCCCGGCUAACUCCGUGCCAGCAGCCGCGGUAAUACGGAGGGGGCUAGCGUUGUUCGGAAUUACUGGGCGUAAAGCGCGCGUAGGCGGACCAGAAAGUUGGAGGUGAAAUCCCAGGGCUCAACCUUGGAACUGCCUUCAAAACUCCUGGUCUGGAGUUCGAGAGAGGUGAGUGGAAUUCCGAGUGUAGAGGUGAAAUUCGUAGAUAUUCGGAGGAACACCAGUGGCGAAGGCGGCUCACUGGCUCGAUACUGACGCUGAGGUGCGAAAGCGUGGGGAGCAAACAGGAUUAGAAACCCCAGUAGUCC
rnacentral:rRNA from 1 species